CUAGUUGGUGAGGUAAUGGCUCACCAAGGCAACGAUCGGUAGCCGGCCUGAGAGGGUGAUCGGCCACACCGGAACUGAGACACGGUCCGGACUCCUACGGGAGGCAGCAGUGGGGAAUCUUGCGCAAUGGGCGAAAGCCUGACGCAGCAACGCCGCGUGGAGGAUGAAGGCCCUUGGGUUGUAAACUCCUGUCGGCUGGGAAGAACUCGUACGAUGCUCAUACCAUCGUGCGUUGACUGUACCAGCAAAGGAAGCCCCGGCUAACUCUGUGCCAGCAGCCGCGGUAAUACAGAGGGGGCUAGCGUUAUUCGGAAUUAUUGGGCGUAAAGGGCGCGUAGGCGGCCUUGCGUGUCUUUCGUGAAAUCCCUCGGCUUAACUGAGGACGUGCGGAAGAAACUGCAGGGCUUGAGUCCGGGAGAGGGGGGUGGAAUUCCCAGUGUAGCGGUGAAAUGCGUAGAUAUUGGGAGGAACACCGGUGGCGAAGGCGGCCCCCUGGACCGGUACUGACGCUGAGGCGCGAAAGCGUGGGGAGCAAACGGGAUUAGAUACCCCGGUAGUCCACGCCGUAAACGAUGGGCACUUGGUGUCGCGGGUAUCGACCCCUGCGGUGCCGAAGCUAACGCAUUAAGUGCCCCGCCUGGGGAGUACGGUCGCAAGGCUGAAACUCAAAGGAAUUGACG
rnacentral:rRNA from 1 species